GAAUGAAGAUAGACCAGUUUAAAAUACGUCAGCUAUUCCCAGUCGACUGAUUUUCUGAAAGCCACAGAUGCCGUCUACUGAUAUAGAAACAGUAGCAUAUCGAGUCAAAAGUCUUUUAUUACUAUUUGCUAAGAAGUAGCCCACUCUUCAUCUAAGCACAGCAAGAUCAAGAGGACAACAUGGAUAACAGAUCUAUGGCUGUGUCGAUCGGGAUAGGCGUAGCUUUUGGUGUCUUAGGGCUGCUCCUGCUGAUCUGUUUGUUGCAGAUGUGUUGCAAGAAAAUUCGCUGCUGUAAACAGCCAUCUGUGAAAGAUAAAAUUUUGAAGAAAGUGGCUACGAAAUCUCCAUUUUCAAUAAGCAGGAUCAUUGACAAGAAAUAACGCCCAGUCACUGUUGACAGUGAUUCAUCGUUUAUUUAUCUCUUACUGUAAAAUCUUGAAUGAACCCGAGUUAUUUUUCUUUGCAACACUUUAAACUUUAUUUCAUCUCAUGCGUGAAAGCAUCCGUUUAUUUAUUUUCUUGAUUUAACUUCUGUGAAAAAUGUGAAUCACACUGAAAUGUAAAAGUGAGAAAAGUGGAGAUGUGAUAUGAUUCAUACCUCUGCUAAAGUAUACAUCACUUUCUCAUAGUCUGGGAAAAGCAGCACAACAAGAGCGCGGCUGUUCGGUAAAAGGUACUUUUUAUCCUGUUUUUCACUGUUUCCAAAUUCACCGCAGAUGCAAAGAAAAGCGUUUUCUCAGACUCUUAAAAGGUCACCAUACUGAGUCCCACACCAACUUCAUAGCUUCUAUAUGUUUUGGUGCCUCUUAAUUGUAUAGAUGGUAUAAGGCAUCUGUUGAACAAAUUUGGCUUUAUUUCAGGAUAUAGAUUGAACUUAACUAAAAGUGAGUGCUUUCCCAUAAAUAAGCUAGCUAAACAAAUUUCCCCAUGUCCCCAUGCUUUCCAUGUCUCCAUGGUUCGUUUGUGGUGAGAACGCGAUCUGACCUCGAACAGAUCUAACUGCAAAAAGUGCUGCGCAUUUGUGAACUAAUCCAGCUGCCAUAGUCAGCUGCGCUGUGGAAUGAGGAAGUGUUUGUAUAUGGCUAGCACCAUAGAUAUUUAUAAUAAAGGCCAGAUGUCUGAAUCUCUAACAUCAUCACCGGCGGCCAUCUUGUCUCAGUCAGCUCACUCACUCGUAGCAUUGUGUUUUAAUGGUGCACAUACUUUUAAAUAAUCAUAACUUGCUCAAUGUUUUACAGAUUUUCAAACGGUUUGGUUUAAUAAUACUGGUUGGAAUAAUUCUGGUUGCUUGAACAUGUUUCAUGAAAAUUAUUCAAGUUAUGGUUAUUUUAAAGUACAUGCACCAUUA